CUGCGUAGGCGGAGGGCUGCCUGCCCGGAGUCUCCCGCUGUAUCCCUGGCCCGGGCGCUGGGCUCCACCUGCUGAAAGCAGUCAACCGCUGUCCGGCAGGGCUGGGGCCGUUUCUCUGGCGUCGGGGAAGCCCUUCUCUGGCGUCGGGGAAGCCCCUCCCAGCCCCGCAGCCUGGAACCCAGCCUCCGGCAGAGGACGCCCGAGUGAG
rnacentral:lncRNA from 1 species